UUGGUAAACAUACCUUUCCACGUCAUCUAAAUUCGUUCAUUUUUACUUUGCCAUGACAAAGAACCAUAGUUUAGUCGAAGUAAGGUUUUAACCUUACUCAAUUGGUAUAAUAUAUAUAACAUAAAAUAUAAAAUAAUACACACAAAACUUAGGAAUUCUCUUGCGUAGAUCUUGCACACUAGAGAGCAUUUAGUUAUGUAAAGUUGAUUACUACACACGGAUGGCUGAUGAUAAAGCUUUUCAUAGGAAGUAUAUGUUGUGCAAUUUGAGCACAAAAUAUAACCAAUUGCAUUUUAUAUAAUGUGCAUAUUACUUAAAUGGCAAAUUGCCCUGAGGCCAGGAUAUGUAACAUGACAAAGCCUCAGUUAUGUUACUAUGUACCCAACAUCAACUUUUGCAUUAAACCGUGUCAUCAACAUCACAAUAGUAAAAAUAGCAACGUAGAUUAUAAAAAACUUUUUUGAGCAUCACAUCCGCAAACGACGUUAGCAAACAGGCAAGGCAAACACUUCACAAAAAGAACACGAAAUGCACAGGCACAAUGCUACCGUCAGACACACUAACCUAUGUACAUCAAUUCUACAACAAGAUGGUAUACUGUUUGGUGGAACCACACAAGAAGGACCUUCGCAUCGUUAAUACUUGCGACACGCGAACUCAUCAAGAGCUGCUCAAAAGCGAUGAUGCCGCAAAGAAGACAAAGCGAAGGUAAAAAGCAAAGAAAGACAAUAUUGAACAUCGAUUAUCACUCAGGUGGACUGAAGGAAGUGCAGUGAAUAACUAUGAAGUUUCAUUUGUAGUUCGACCAACGGCCAUUAGAAGGUGAUGGACAUGUUUGUACCGGUACAUUGGAAUCUUCGGACCAUUUGCUCCUCCGCCCAGCCAACUGCACUUGCAAAGGAAGGGGGCGCUAAACAGCUUCAACACUGCUUCGUGCAUUCGAUUGUCUGGAGUAUUCGAACCGGUCUAGGUGUUUCAUCAACUUCAUCUAUUGUAAAACAAUUUGAAUUACUCGCGGGGCAAUUUGGACAGUUUUAACAAUGUGUCCAGCUGUGUGCAGCAUGUACUACAAAUUACUCUUUCUUCCGCACAUCCACUAGGAGCACCGGUUCUGUGGUGCAACUCUAUUGAGGAUGUUGCUGACGGUAGCUGGAGCGGUGCUUCAACCGGAUGAGAAUCCUGUAUGGACUCAAUACACGGAUCAAUCGAGGAUAAUUCGACAGUGGCCAAUGGAGAUGUUUGACGUUCAGCAACGCUGGGUGCAAUCGCCGUGCGGUUGCUUUCCACAGCAGCUGAUAUAGAAACGCCAUCGAAAAAGGCUAGCGGAGGAGCCUCACGGACGUCAACGGUAGAAACUGUCUCCGUGGGAUGUUUUUCCACAGAUCUCUGCCGAUUAUCAGCUACGUCAAUUGUCAACGGAGAUGGUUCACGGACGUUAAUGUUGGACACCGGUACCGUGCAAUUAUUAACAGAUUGUGUUGUUCCACUGUCAAUAAAGGUCAACACAGAUGGCUCACGGGCGACAACGCUGGGCACGUCAUGCAUGUUACGCUUUUGCACAAAAGAUUUCUGUGAAACAUCGCCAAAAUAGGCCAAGGGAGGCGGCUCAGUAACAACACUGGCCUCCUUUUUCGUUCGCGGCUUUUUCGAUCCAGCUUCCAAUACGUUGAAAGACGUCGAGGGUGGCCGGGACGUGUUGUACAGCGUUAGAACUUUAGACGGUUUAUCACUGGCUUGCCGUUUUGAUAAAACCGUAUUAAAAAAUAUUAACGGUGGUGGAUUUUAUUUCAAGCUACUUUGAAUUUUGACUUUUCAACUGCAUCACACAAAAUAAGUUUGCAAUUGAAC